AGAAUCAACGCUGGCGGCGUGCCUAACACAUGCAAGUCGAACGAGAAAGUGGAGCAAUCCAUGAGUAAAGUGGCGCACGGGUGAGUAACACGUGACUAACCUACCCUUGAGUGGGGGAUAACCUAGGGAAACCUGGGCUAAUACCGCAUAAUACCUUCGGGUCAAAGGAGCAAUUCGCUUAAGGAGGGGGUCGCGGCCGAUUAGUUAGUUGGCGGGGUAAUGGCCCACCAAGACUGUGAUCGGUAUCCGGCCUGAGAGGGCGCACGGACACACUGGAACUGAAACACGGUCCAGACUCCUACGGGAGGCAGCAGUGGGGAAUUUUGCGCAAUGGGGGAACCCUGACGCAGCAACGCCGCGUGGAGGAUGAAGUCCCUUGGGACGUAAACUCCUUUCGAUCGGGACAUUAUGACGGUACCGGAAGAAGAAGCCCCGGCUAACUUCGCGCCAGCAGCCGC
rnacentral:rRNA from 1 species